UGAUAUUGAUCUUCAUCCGAUGACGUGUC
rnacentral:sRNA from 1 species